UGGCUAGGCAGCAGCCAGCGCAGCUUGACAGAAGAAGGAGCUGGGAGCAAACAGUCAUAGACUCGGGAGGGGGCAGGCCCGGUGGGCUGACCACGGAGCCUUUCCUAUUUGAGGCUCUAAUUCACAGGAUACAGCAGCAGAAAAAAAUAGCACAUCCAUGGCCUCCUGCUGAUGUAAUGUCACUGGAUCAACAGAGCAGUCAUACUUGUACAAUCACACAGGCACAGACCCAGCGUGCGGGGCAAAGGAACCUCGAUUCGGUUCAAGAAGCAAUUAUCGAUCACCUUCCAGCAGAGACUAGACCCUGGGAUACAGAGACAAGCUGGUGAUCUAGCCGAGGCAUGCAUCAUCGACGACGACCGUGGACCAAGUUGCCAAGGGAACUUGGCAGUCAUUUGCCGAGUACUCCUGAGCCAGACUGGUGGGCAUGUGUCCCCUAGAAGCCCUGUAGCCUGAGGAGAAGUUCUCGUGUGGUGUCUGUUUCAUCGUGAUCAGGACCCGUCUCUGGAAGCUACCUGUUUUUCCACAUUAUCAAAAUAAAGAAGAUGACUGCCAUCCUUUCAUAUGCACAGUCGGUCAGCCACGUGGACUGGUUAGACACACACAGGUUGAUCAGCACAUAGAGAUCAAUCAGCUCAUAUGGAUUGAUCAGUGCAUAGAGACUGAUCAGACCGCUGUAUUUUAUGGGAAGGAAACAGACUACAGAAGAAGUGAAGAGAUACUCAAGGUCACAUGGCUAUUAGGUAGCAGCAACCUGGCCACUUAUAUUAUGGAGGACCGAUCUACGAUAAUUGUCAAAUCAGAGUUACAGAGAAAAUGCCACAAACUUUCCAAUUAGGAACCCGGAAGUGGUGCUGGGGCGGAGUCAAGUUGAUCUUCCUGCCCUUUUGAUAGCCAAACGCUCUGCUUGGAUCAACAUUGGUUCACCUUCCAGUGGCUUCUUCUACUCAACUUGGGAUUACACACCCUGUGUUCAGAGUUCAUAGACCUGGCUGGGCUUGCUGAAGAGCAUCUGCUCUCUGCAGUUCUGCGAAACCAGACAGAAGAUUCUGGCCUAGCACACCUUGGUUCUGAAGGAUAAGGGGAGGCCCUUUGGUGACAAGACCAGUCUUGGAUUUCUGGUUUCUCUGAGAGAGAGAGAGAGAGAGAGAGAGAGAGGGAGGCAGAGGCCCUCUCUGCUGGGUUUACAAAGUGACCCCAGAAGCCCUGUUAGCACACACAUGUUGCUCACCUGUAGUUCUUGGUUAAACCAUCCAAAGAUACAGGACACCAUUUUGGGUGCAACAGGGGACUCACGGGGCCAAAACAGAUACAAACCUUCCGUCCCAUGGGUUAGGAUUGGGAGAAAGACAAAUACCUGAGAGUAUCUGCUGCUCAUAUGAAAGGGACUAUGUGUACACACACGGGUGAUGGGAUGGCCUUUGGCCAAAAGCAACACAACUCUGACCUGACAGACUUGUAAGAUGGGCUGCUCACGUAUACCUCAGCCCACGCUGAGGUCACGGGGACCUGUACACCUGACGGUCCUGGGAAAGGAAGGUCUGUAGUCUCUGGAGAAAAUUCAGUGGGGCACAGAAGGAGAGGAGGAGGAGAGGGGCGGGGAGGGAGAGGCCCACCUUGCAAAUCCCUCCUCCACCCCUCCCUCCCUUCCCCCACCUCCCUCCACCCCCACUUCAAGACAGAAGAGCCAAGGGCAUGGGCCAGCCAACUCUGUGGCCUGUUUAUACCCUGUAACCAGAGCCUGUUGCCGCCCAGGCUGCCUGACAGCUGCAGUGAUAAGGGGACGGCUGUCGCUUCGAGAGGAUGGCCUGUACUGGCGUCCAUCUCGGGAGCAGCUUAUCCCGAUCAUUUUCCCAAGCCGGGGGGUGGGAGUGGGAACAGGUGCGGCUGGCUUCCAGCUACCGCUCGGGGGCGGUCUUCCCGAAUCCGAAUCCGGGUGAGCUGGGAGGCCU